UGGUUUUAUUGACGUCAAGUUUAUCCAAGCUUGAUGGUCAUGAAUUUACCGCUACAAUUGCUCCUCCUUUUUCAUCUUCGUCGUUCAUGUUAUUUAUGUUGUGGAUCUUAUGUAAAUAUUAGCAUAUUGAAUGAUAAACUAUAUAUUAAGAUUACACUUCAACUGACAUAGGGUAGGCAUGGUGAUAGGAUACUGGAUUUGGGCCUAGGCCUAACUUGAUGUCUUGAAUGGAGAGAGUAGUGACAUGGCAAAUUCUGUUGGGGGGAAGUUAAAUAGGGAUAAAGGAAAUAAGUAAGGGUUAUGUUUGUUAAAAAGUUUGUAGGUAUGAGAUUAAUUUUAAGAGUUGUAAAUUCAACAAUAUGAUUGAAGAAGAGAACAAGAUAAUUUAUUUAUUUUUCUCUCUAUUUUUGCCAUUGUUAUUUUGUACUAGUGUGCCGAAAACAGUACAAAGUACAAUUAUGAUUGAACCUCUUUGAAGUAUAACCUUUUAAUGUUUCUAAAUUCUCAGAGUUAUACAAAGACUUGAUAUUUC
rnacentral:lncRNA from 1 species